rnacentral:RNase_P_RNA from 1 species
AGGAAAGUCCGUCCACCAGUAAAGAGAAUUAACCUCUCUCUACAACAUGACCGCUUCCCUAGGAAGGAGGAGAAAUCCCUCGGCUCUGGCUCAGAAACGACAUGUCCAUAACUAAGGAUGAUAUUGGCGAAGCUUCUUGUGAAAGAAGUCAGUUAACCCUUUGACAUUGGUUAUGGGAACAAUUAAACGGCGAAACCUGGUCGGUGCAAGUACAUUUAUGUACGCUUAGUAGAAUGCUCUAAACGACUAUCGGCAUUUCUUAGAAAUGUUUUGGGUCUUACAAAAGACGGCUUACGCCACUCUACU